rnacentral:rRNA from 1 species
UACGGAAGGCAGCAGUGGGGAAUAUUGCACAAUGGGCGCAAGCCUGAUGCAGCCAUGCCGCGUGUAUGAAGAAGGCCUUCGGGUUGUAAAGUACUUUCAGUCGUGAGGAAGGUGUUAAGGUUAAUAACCUUAGCAAUUGACGUUAGCGACAGAAGAAGCACCGGCUAACUCCGUGCCAGCAGCCGCGGUAAUACGGAGGGUGCGAGCGUUAAUCGGAAUUACUGGGCGUAAAGGGCACGCAGGCGGUUAAUUAAGUUGGAUGUGAAAUCCCCGGGCUUAACCUGGGAAUGGCAUUCAAGACUGGUUAGCUAGAGUCUUGUAGAGGGGGUAGAAUUCCAUGUGUAGCGGUGAAAUGCGUAGAGAUGUGGAGGAAUACCGGUGGCGAAGGCGGCCCCUGGGACAAAGGCUGACGCUCAUGUGCGAAAGCGUGGGGAGCGAAACAGGGAUUAGAUACC